rnacentral:lncRNA from 1 species
AUUUAAAAUAUGAUUAUAUUACCGGGUACAUGUUCAUGUCUAUGUGAUUGUGUUUAAUUUGGUAACGGAGAUUAAGGAUAAACAUGAAAGGGAUGUGAUCUAAUAAAUAGAUAAGGUGACAGCCUCACUAGAUAUCCUGGGAGAUGGUGGAUGGACCGGGUUCAUAGAGAAUCUUACAAAUGGAGACUUGGUCAUUUGGCGCUCAUACUGGACGGUGUAUGAGGACGGCCCGCUUCACCCUCAUACCGGACGGGGUAUUGAGGUUUAAUGU